UUCAUGAAAUAGACCAGUGUUUUGAUUCAUAAUCUAUGUAGCAGAGUUUAACUUGUUUACAGCCUCAUGCAAAAAUACUAAGCUCAUAUCUUUAUUGAUAUCAUGCAGGGCUGUGUCCAGACUUUUUUUGAUUGGGGUGAACCAACAGGGGCACCAACCCAGACAAGGGUGGCCGAGGUAUACAUACACACAAACACAAAUAAAAGCUUUAUCCCCUCUGUCUUCACCAUAUACUGUACUUUAACUACUAUCAUUUAAGUAUCAUACAGAUCUUUUUUACAUCUGUUGUAUUAAAGGGAUAUUCCAGCGUAAAAUUAAUAUAGGGUCAAACACACCAUAACACCGAGUUAGACAGCCCCUCGAGAGAUGAAUGUUGCCAACCGCUUGCUUCUCUAGUUAUACCAACUUUAGUAACGACUGCAGGAUAGCAGUCUGAGGAGCUAUAAACAAACCUCAACCAAAAAGCCACUCUAUAGCCACAAAUAAUGCUCAGAACAGCAGCUAACUUCAUCAACAAUACAUAUAGGGUCCCAGCCAUAGCACUAGCCACCAAAGAUAUUUUUAACUUUGCCUAAUUUCUUUAGCAAAGAGACUAAACACAACUCAUCUACUCUCUUCCGGCGGCUGCUUGUUUGUAGAGAGACCUCGGGCCAGUCCAUUACGGACUGCAGCGGGGUGACGCAGCUCAAAGGAGAACAUUUAUGGUCAUUUCUUCAUGGAAAUGCAAUCAGACAGAGAUGCUAAUGCAGAAGAACUACAGCAUCUGCAGUGCAAAAUGAUUAAUAUGAUGAUUAUUACUUCAAGGAAAUGAUAAAGAAAUUAUCAUAAAUGUUCUUAGGCAAAGUUAAAAAGAUGUUUGGUGGCUAGUGCUGUGGCUGUUGAUAUGUACUGUUGAUGAAGUUAGGUGGUGGUUUGAGCAUUAUUUGUGGCUAUAGAAUGGCUUUGUGGUUUGUUUAUGGCUCCUCCUGUGUAUUGCUAGCGUGCGGUCAUUACUAAAGUUGGUAUAACUAGAGAAGCAAGCGGUCGGCAACAUUCAUCUCUCAAGGGGGUGUCUAACUCAGUGUUACAGUGUGUUUGACCCUAAAUUAAUUUUACAUUGGAAUAUCCCUUUAAAUAAUAUAAUUGAAGUAUCAUACAGAUCUAUUUUACAUUUGUUAUGUUCAUGUUCCUUUUUUAAGAUGUACAGAAAACACCACAGAGAGGCGACACACAGAGGCUCUAAAUGAAGAUGUUUGUCCACCAAUCAAUUAUCUGUG